UACGAAGGGGGCUAGCGUUGUUCGGAAUCACUGGGCGUAAAGCGCUUGUAGGCGGAUCGUUAAGUCAGGGGUGAAAUCCCGAGGCUCAACCUCGGAACUGCCUCUGAUACUGGCAAUCUUUGAGUCCGGGAGAGGUGAGUGGAACUCCGAGUGUAGAGGUGAAAUUCGUAGAUAUUCGGAAGAACACCAGUGGCGAAGGCGGCUCACUGGACUGGUAUUGACGCUGAGGUGCGAAAGCGUGGGGAGCAAACAGG
rnacentral:rRNA from 1 species